rnacentral:rRNA from 1 species
AUACGUAGGGUGCAAGCGUUAAUCGGAAUUACUGGGCGUAAAGCGUGCGCAGGCGGUUCGGAAAGGAGGAUGUGAAAUCCCAGGGCUCCACCUUGGAACUGCAUUCUUAACUACCGAACUAGAGGAUGUCAGAGGGGGGUAGAAUUCCGCGUGUAGCAGUGAAAUGCGUAGAUAUGCGGAGGAAUACCGAUGGCGAAGGCAGCCCCCUGGGAUAAUACUGACGCUCAUGCACGAAAGCGUGGGUAGCAAACAGGAUUAGAUACCCUGGUAGUCCACGCCCUAAACGAUGUCAACUAGCUGUUGGGCCCUUCGGGGCUUAGUAGCGUAGCUAACGCGUGAAGUUGACCGCCUGGGGAGUACGGUCGCAAGAUUAAAACUCAAAUGAAUUGACGGGG